rnacentral:rRNA from 1 species
AGCUACAGGCUUAACACAUGCAAGUCGAGGGGCAUCAGGAAGAAAGCUUGCUUUCUUUGCUGGCGACCGGCGCACGGGUGAGUAACACGUAUCCAACCUGCCGAUGACUCGGGGAUAGCCUUUCGAAAGAAAGAUUAAUACCCGAUGGUAUAUCUGAAAGGCAUCUUUCAGCUAUUAAAGAAUUUCGGUCAUUGAUGGGGAUGCGUUCCAUUAGGUUGUUGGCGGGGUAACGGCCCACCAAGCCAUCGAUGGAUAGGGGUUCUGAGAGGAAGGUCCCCCACAUUGGAACUGAGACACGGUCCAAACUCCUACGGGAGGCAGCAGUGAGGAAUAUUGGUCAAUGGACGAGAGUCUGAACCAGCCAAGUAGCGUGAAGGAUGACUGCCCUAUGGGUUGUAAACUUCUUUUAUACGGGAAUAAAGUUGGGCACGUGUGCCUUUUUGUAUGUACCGUAUGAAUAAGGAUCGGCUAACUCCGUGCCAGCAGCCGCGGUAAUACGGAGGAUCCGAGCGUUAUCCGGAUUUAUUGGGUUUAAAGGGAGCGUAGGCGGAUGCUUAAGUCAGUUGUGAAAGUUUGCGGCUCAACCGUAAAAUUGCAGUUGAUACUGGGUGUCUUGAGUACAGUAGAGGCAGGCGGAAUUCGUGGUGUAGCGGUGAAAUGCUUAGAUAUCACGAAGAACUCCGAUUGCGAAGGCAGCUUGCUGGA